rnacentral:tRNA from 1 species
GCCUUCGUGGUGUAAUGGCCAGCACACUCGGCAUGUAAAAGUGCCCGAGGUUCGAGUCUCGGCGAGGGCA